GUGCUUAAAAAUCACAUGGAUUAAACGCCAUAAUUCUGACCCAACUUUAAAAAAAAAAACAACUGCUGAAAUUGUUUUGUCACAGGCGAGCCAUGAGGCACUGGGAAUGGUAGAAAUUCAAUGCUGACAGACAAUAUUUGUGGCAGUUGCCAGAUAUGAAUGCAGGAUUCUGUUGGUUGUCCAGUAUAAUCCAGUGUUUCUGUCUGUAUGAGAGAGAGGGAGAGCAUGUCAACUUGACACAUAAGUUUUUUAUUUUUUAACUCACAGGCUCUGGUUCUAAUGCCUGCUGCAAACCUGUAUAGAACUGCCUGCAUAAUCCAUUCUGUAAGAGGGAAACAUCCUGGCUAUUCUUUGGCUCGGUUCAGUCCUAUUUCAGCAGAAUGUGCAACUUAUUGUGUUGCAUUGUGGGCAAUGCACUGAAACAAGAUUCGUUAACAA